rnacentral:rRNA from 1 species
AGAUUGAACGCUGGCGGCAUGCCUUACACAUGCAAGUCGAACGGCAGCACGGGAGCAAUCCUGGUGGCGAGUGGCGAACGGGUGAGUAAUAUAUCGGAACGUGCCCAGUCGUGGGGGAUAACGCAGCGAAAGCUGUGCUAAUACCGCAUACGAUCUAUGGAUGAAAGCGGGGGAUCGCAAGACCUCGCGCGAUUGGAGCGGCCGAUAUCAGAUUAGCUAGUUGGUAGGGUAAAGCCUACCAAGGCGACGAUCUGUAGCUGUCUGAGAGGACGACCAGCCACACUGGAACUGACGACACGGUCCAGACUCCUACGGGAGGCAGCAGUCGGGGAAUUUUGGACAAGUGGCGACAAGCUGAUCCAG